rnacentral:rRNA from 1 species
AUGAAGAACUUUGUCAAACAGCAUGUUCUGUCUUGUCUAGUGUGUCAGCAGGCUAAACCAGAAAGAGUAGCAUAUCCAGGUUUACUUUCCCCCCUUCCAGUACCAACACGAGCUUGGGAUACUGUGACCAUGGAUUUCAUCUCAGGUUUGCCUUCUUCUGACCAAUUUGACUGCAUCAUGGUAGUGAUUGACAAGUUCACGAAGUAUGGCCAUUUUGUCCCAGUGAAGCAUCCUUACAAUGCACAGAAAAUUGCAGAACUAUUCUUAGAUAAUAUCUAUGAACUACACGGUAUGCCCAGACUGAUUGUAUUAGACAGAGACCCGGUUUUCACUAGUCAGUUCUGGCAGUUGUUGGUAAGAACUGGUGCUACACUUAAUAUGAGCUCAGCUUAUCAUCCUGAAACAGACGGUCAAACGGAGCGUGUUAACCAGCAGGUGGAAUGCUUCCUCCGUUGCUUCAUCAUCGCACACCCGAAGAAAUGGGCCCGUUGGAUUGCCCAGUGUGAAUUUUGGUACAACACGAAUUGGCAUUCGGCUCUGAACAAGUCCCCGUUUGAAGUGCUCUAUGGUCACAGCCCUCGUUACUUUGGCAUUUCGCCGUCAGAUACUGUAGCUCCAGUUGAUCUUCAGCAAUGGCUGGAAACCAGAGCAGUGGUCCAACAAUCUGUUCGUCAGCAUUUGCUUCGUGCCCAGCAAAGGAUGAAAAUGCAGGCUGAUAAGAAGAGAACUGAACGCGUCUUUUCUGUUGGAGAUCGUGUGUUCCUCAAGUUGUAG